rnacentral:tRNA from 1 species
AGAUGAAUCCUUAAAAAUCCUUCAAA